UCAACCGAGAUUCCCCCAGUAGCGGCGAGCGAACGGGGAGCAGCCCAGAGCCUGAAUCAGUGUGUGUGUUAGUGGAAGCGUCUGGAAAGGCGCGCGAUACAGGGUGACAGCCCCGUACACAAAAAUGCACAUGCUGUGAGCUCGAUGAGUAGGGCGGGACACGUGGUAUCCUGUCUGAAUAUGGGGGGACCAUCCUCCAAGGCUAAAUACUCCUGACUGACCGAUAGUGAACCAGUACCGUGAGGGAAAGGCGAAAAGAACCCCGGCGAGGGGAGUGAAAAAGAACCUGAAACCGUGUACGUACAAGCAGUGGGAGCACGCUUAGGCGUGUGACUGCGUACCUUUUGUAUAAUGGGUCAGCGACUUAUAUUCUGUAGCAAGGUUAACCGAAUAGGGGAGCCGAAGGGAAACCGAGUCUUAACUGGGCGUUAAGUUGCAGGGUAUAGACCCGAAACCCGGUGAUCUAGCCAUGGGCAGGUUGAAGGUUGGGUAACACUAACUGGAGGACCGAACCGACUAAUGUUGAAAAAUUAGCGGAUGACUUGUGGCUGGGGGUGAAAGGCCAAUCAAACCGGGAGAUAGCUGGUUCUCCCCGAAAGCUAUUUAGGUAGCGCCUCGUGAAUUCAUCUCCGGGGGUAGAGCACUGUUUCGGCAAGGGGGUCAUCCCGACUUACCAACCCGAUGCAAACUGCGAAUACCGGAGAAUGUUAUCACGGGAGACACACGGCGGGUGCUAACGUCCGUCGUGAAGAGGGAAACAACCCAGACCGCCAGCUAAGGUCCCAAAGUCAUGGUUAAGUGGGAAACGAUGUGGGAAGGCCCAGACAGCCAGGAUGUUGGCUUAGAAGCAGCCAUCAUUUAAAGAAAGCGUAAUAGCUCACUGGUCGAGUCGGCCUGCGCGGAAGAUGUAACGGGGCUAAACCAUGCACCGAAGCUGCGGCAGCGACGCUUAUGCGUUGUUGGGUA
rnacentral:rRNA from 1 species